rnacentral:rRNA from 1 species
AUUGAACGCUGGCGGCAGGCUUAACACAUGCAAGUCGAGCGGAGUGAUGGUGCUUGCACUAUCACUUAGCGGCGGACGGGUGAGUAAUGCUUAGGAAUCUGCCUAUUAGUGGGGGACAACAUCUCGAAAGGGAUGCUAAUACCGCAUACGUCCUACGGGAGAAAGCAGGGGAUCUUCGGACCUUGCACUAUUGGAAGAGCCUGCGUUGGAUUAGCUAGUUGGUAGGGUAAAGGCCUACCAAGGCGACGAUCCAUAACUGGUCUGAGAGGAUGAUCAGUCACACCGGAACUGAGACACGGUCCGGACUCCUACGGGAGGCAGCAGUGGGGAAUAUUGGACAAUGGGGGCAACCCUGAUCCAGCCAUGCCGCGUGUGUGAAGAAGGCCUUCGGGUUGUAAAGCACUUUAAGUGGGGAGAAAGGCUCCAAAGUUAAUACCUUUGGGGAUUGAUGCUACCCACAGAAUAAGCACCGGCUAACUCUGUGCCAGCCGCCGCCGUAAAAC